UGGGGAAUUUUGGACAAUGGGCGAAAGCCUGAUCCAGCAAUGCCGCGUGUGUGAAGAAGGCCUUCGGGUUGUAAAGCACUUUUGUCCGGAAAGAAAUCCUUGGCUCUAAUACAGUCGGGGGAUGACGGUACCGGAAGAAUAAGCACCGGCUAACUACGUGCCAGCAGCCGCGGUAAUACGUAGGGUGCAAGCGUUAAUCGGAAUUACUGGGCGUAAAGCGUGCGCAGGCGGUUUGCUAAGACCGAUGUGAAAUCCCCGGGCUCAACCUGGGAACUGCAUUGGUGACUGGCAGGCUAGAGUAUGGCAGAGGGGGGUAGAAUUCCACGUGUAGCAGUGAAAUGCGUAGAGAUGUGGAGGAAUACUGAUGGCGAAGGCAGCCCCCUGGGCCAAUACUGACGCUCAUGCACGAAAGCGUGGGGAGCAAACAGGAUUAGAUACCCUGGUAGUCCACGCCCUAAACGAUGUCAACUAGUUGUUGGGGAUUCAUUUCCUUAGUAACGUAGCUAACGCGUGAAGUUGACCGCCUGGGGAGUACGGUCGCAAGAUUAAAACUCAAAUGAAUUGACGGGGUCAUAGCUG
rnacentral:rRNA from 1 species